AUAACAAUCUGUUCCCUGAUGUGGAUAGUUCGUGGAAAACAUUCAAUGAGAUCCAGAAACUGCUCAGUAAAACAAAUGGUAAAGUUGUUGGCGACCUGAUGACAUCUGCUCCACUAGCUGUUCGUGAAACUUCAAAUUUAGAAGAUGCUGCCAAGUUGUUGCUUGAAACAAAAUAUCGUCGUUUGCCGGUAGUAGAUGCAGAUGGCAAGCUGGUGGGGAUCAUUACUAGGGGAAAUGUCGUUAGAGCUGCUUUGCAGAUAAAACGUGCUGGUGAAAGGUCGACGUAAUUGUAGAAACAUCAACUGGCAUCCCUCUGAGGUAAAACGCUACUCGAAAGCAUAGCAUUAUUUGUAGAUGAUGAAUGUAGUAUGUUAUAGUUUACACAGGGUAUAGAUUGUUACAAUUUACCUGAAGUUGUGGAUUCUGUCCUGAAGUAAACUAG
rnacentral:misc_RNA from 1 species